rnacentral:rRNA from 1 species
GACGAACGUUGGCGGCAUGGAUUAGGCAUGCAAGUCGAGCGAGAAGUGUAGCAAUACACGGAAAGCGGCGGAAGGGAGAGUAAUACGUGGGAAUCUGCCCUUAGACCUGGGAUAGCAGCGGGAAACUGCUGGUAAUACCAGAUAAUGUCUAUGGACCAAAGGUGUGAUUCCGUCUAGGGAUGAGCCCACGUCCUAUUAGCUAGUUGGUAGGGUAAUGGCCUACCAAGGCGAUGAUGGGUAGCGGGUGUGAGAGCAUGACCCGCCUCACUGGGACUGAGACACGGCCCAGACACCUACGGUUGGCUGCAGUCGAGAAUCUUCGGCAAUGGGCGCAAGCCUGACCGAGCGAUGCCGCGUGCGGGAUGAAGGCCUUCGGGUUGUAAACCGCUGUCGAGGGGGAGCAACUUCCAUAGAGUUAUCUUUAUGGAUUGAGUGAUCCCUGGAGGAAGGACGGGCUAAGUUCGUGCCAGCAGCCGCCGUAAGAC